GUAGAGGUUUGGCGUGUGGCCUGCGGGUUCCCCGGGCACGUCGACGUGCGCUCCUCUCUGGUCUCGAGUCACCAGGACCAGAUCGAGGAUGCGGCCGACCCCCUGCCCGAUGUGGAAAGCGAAGUCUCCACCUCGUGAUUGGGUCUCUGCUGUCAGAGAGCUUCACGAGCUUGAGGGGAAACAGACAGAGAGGUCUGGGCAUUGGGCAGUUUCCCGCCUCCCAGCCCCGCGCACUGAACAGACCGUGACCAGAACUGCGAACAAAGCGCGGAGGGAAGCUCCUAAAGGAGGCCAAAGCGGCCGGGCGCUGUGGCUCACACCUGUAACCCCAGCCUGUAAGCCUAGCUACUCGGGAGGCCGAGGCAGAAGGAGCGCUUGAAGCCAGGAGUUGGAAGCUGCAGUAAUCCGUGAUCGGACCGUUGCACUCUAGCCUGGGCAACAUAACGUCCUUUGAAAAAAAAAAAAAAAAAAAAAAACAGAGGCCAAAACGGGUAGCAGUGGUGCCCGGGCACCAAGGAUGGAAGGCCUCUCUGAGGAGGUGAUGCCGAGCUGAAGCUGGGAAGCGGAUGUGAGGGAAGAGUUCCAGGCAGAGGGAAGGCAAAUGCAGAGAUCCUCAGGCAGGAACACUGAACUGUUCUCCGUAUUUGAGGAGCAGAGGGCGUGUCAGUGGUGGCCGCAGCAGCUGAGCAAAGGUCUUAGAAUCCCAGCUAAUGUCGUGGGACCUAGCACCCAAUCCCAAAAGAAAGAAGAAUAGAUAGGAACCCACUGUUGACAAGAAGGUGCACUGAGAAGUGUUUUUAUCUGACCCGAUCUGCAUCCAGUUUAGAAGCCGAUACAUCAGGGAUUUAACAAUCUGCCUUAAUGUCUAGCAAGGGGGGUUGCUGGAGGGAAAACACAGAGUCAGAGUUCUAUCUUCAGCCCUGCCAGCAGGUCCCUGGGAGAUGCUAGACGAGUGACUUUUCUCUGGGCGUGGUUGGUGUAAGGGAUGCACACGCAGGAGGAAGGUCGGAGUGUAAAUGUGUGACGUGGGCCUGUUACUGGGUAUAAAUGGGCCUGUAGUGACCGGGAGCUCAUGUUCUACCAAAGGGGUUGCCAAUUUUCUGAUUUCGAGUGUGGCGGUGUAAAAGAGAAAAGCAACUGCUGCCAGCUGGGAGCUGGUUUGCACCCUCACUCCAGAAGCCUUGAUGUUGCUAGGAGCUGGCCUGGCACCAACAGCGCGGCCAUGGUGGUGUCCUGUUGAGCAAAAUAAUUUCACAAAAAACAUCAGACAAGGUCACUCUCUGACUGAUUAUCUAGAAAAAGACCAUUCCAUAAUAAAGCCUCAAUACAGAAACAAGAACAUUGUCCAAACCACAAAAAUUACCAACACAAUCCUCUCUCCCACAGCGCUGGAGUGCAGUGAUGCAAUCUUGGCUCACCACAACCUCCACCUCCAGGUUCAAGCGAUUCUCCUGCCUCAGCUUCCAGAGUAUCUGGGAUUACAGGCACCCACCAUCAUGCCCAGAUCAUUUCUGUAUUUUUAGUAGAGAUGGGGAUUCACCAAGUUGCCCAGGUGCUUCCUGGUGGUCCUUGGUUGGAGGGUACUAUCAGAAAUGGAGGAGCAACAAAGAUUCAGCUGAAGCCCUCACUGCCUGGGACUGGGACCCUUGACUCGUCAUUGUAUGCACACCUGAAACUGCUUAUGUCGCUGAG